rnacentral:rRNA from 1 species
UACGGAGGGGGCUAGCGUUGUUCGGAAUUACUGGGCGUAAAGCGCGCGUAGGCGGCUUUGCAAGUCAGAGGUGAAAGCCUGGAGCUCAGCUCCAGAACUGCCUUUGAAACUGCAUCGCUAGAAUCAUGGAGAGGUUAGUGGAAUUCCGAGUGUAGAGGUGAAAUUCGUAGAUAUUCGGAAGAACACCAGUGGCGAAGGCGACUUACUGGACGAUUGUUGACGCUGAGGUGCGAAAGCGUGGGGAGCAAACAGG